CGCGCACUUACUGAAAUGUGCAUCUGCUAGAUCGGGGAACUUUCUCGGAUUGAAUCAUUGCUAAAACUAGGUUGUAGAAUCGAACUUUUUGUUGAACUUUGGAGUAAUCAUCUAUCAACAAUCGGAGAAGUUGGGUCAUAACCCCUACCCACCCCCCUAUGAAAAUCUCAACGGAUUUACACGAUUUGGAAAAACGACCCUUAGAGACCCAGAAAUAUCGGAAAAUCCGGCAUAUGCCGGAAAACAUUCACCCAUGGAAAUGUACUGGGGAAAUAAAAACCCAAUGGACGAAUCGUCCGGAACUGAUUUUUUGUAGUGGACGAAUCGUCUCGAGUUCCUCAGUGGACGAAUUUUAAGUGGACGAAUCGUCCGUCGACAAAUUGUCCAGUGGACGAAUCGACUGCAUCCCAAAAACGUGUACUCACCAAAGCCAUGUUGAAUAUUGCAUUGUGGGAAAUUUGUGUUCUCGUCAUCACUGCGACCUCUGACCUUCACCUUUCCGCGAGGAUUUCAAAUAAUCGUGUCAUGGGGAAUCCCGAAAGUAUUGUUCUAUGUUCUGUCACAGUUGGAAACAGAAAACAUAACAGCAUCAAGCUUGAAGUAUAAUUGAAUCUACUGAAAGUUGUCUCAUAACCACGUGUACUCUCCCACUCCGUUUCCAUUUCAGGUUUCUCCAUAGACACACAGAGACUACAAAUUUCCU